CAUGAACUGUGAGAUCAUGACCUGACCCCAAGUAGGACGCUUAACGGACUGAGCCACCCAGGCGCCCCUACAAGAUGAUUUUUAAAGAUAAUUUCAGAUUGAACCAAAGAGCUAGGAGGUGACAGUUCAGUCUCAUACUCAGAUUUGGGGGCUGGGAAGCUUUGCUAAUCCCACCGCUACCCCCACCCCGCCACCCCCGCAAAACCAGAGAAAUGUAACCGUUCUACUGUGAGAGCACCCAAAGGCGGAUCUCGGAAAAUAGAGAGUCCUGGGGAGACACCAGGAGUCAGCGGGCCCCUGGGAAGGAACCUUCAGGCAAGAAGGCUGCCAGUGGUCUCCUUGCUUUCCUCCUGGGGAGUCGGAGGAGGGCAGUGGGCCAAAGCGCCGGGGCAGGCAAACUCCUGCACGCAGAGGAUGGCGUAUUCAGAGGCAAUCGUUGCAGCACUGUUUACGACACAGAAGAUUGGGAAGAAGCACAGCAGCCUAUCAGGAGAAACUGGUUAAGUAAAUGACCGGGAUUGCACUUUCAUACAGGGGGUCACCGUAAAGUCAGCAAAAAGAAUGAGCAGUUUUGUCCAUACGGACGUGAUCUCCACAAUACAUUAAGUGGAAGAA